GUAGCCUAGCAGUUAGAGCGUCCGCCUUGAAUGCGAGAGGUUGCGGGUUUGAACCCCGGACGAAUACUACA